CCCUUAGAUGUUCUGGGCUGCACGCGCGCUACACUGACGCACCCAACGGGUUUACGACCUUGCCUGGAAAGGUUGGGUAAUCCUACAAAAAUGCGUCGUGGUGGGGACAGAUUACUGCAAUAACUAAUCUUCAACGAGGAAUUCCUAGUAAGCGCGAGUCAUCAGCUCGUGCUGAUUACCUCCCUGCCCUUUGUACACACCGCCCGUCGCUCCUACCGAUUAAGUGAUCCGGUGAAUAGUUCGGACUGCUGCAAUGCUUGGAUCCCGAGAAUUGCGGCGAAAGUUUAGUGAACCUUAUCACUUAGAGGAAGGAGAAGUCGUAACA
rnacentral:rRNA from 1 species